GAUGAACGCUGACAGAAUGCUUAACACAUGCAAGUCAACUUGAACUUCGGUUUGGGUGGCGGACGGGUGAGUAACGCGUAAAGAACUUGCCUCACAGAUAGGGACAACAUUUGGAAACGAAUGCUAAUACCUGAUAUUAUGAUUAUAUGGCAUCGUAUAAUUAUGAAAGCUAUAUGCGCUGUGAGAGAGCUUUGCGUCCCAUUAGCUAGUUGGAGAGGUAACGGCUCACCAAGGCGAUGAUGGGUAGCCGGCCUGAGAGGGUGAUCGGCCACAAGGGGACGGAGACACGGCCCUUACUCCUACGGGAGGCAGCAGUGGGGAAUAUUGGACAAUGGACCAAGAGUCUGAUCCAGCAAUUCUGUGUGCACGAUGAAGUUUUUCGGAAUGUAAAGUGCUUUCAGUUGGGAAGAAAAAAAUGACGGUACCAACAGAAGAAGUGACGGCUAAAUACGUG
rnacentral:rRNA from 1 species